ACUUUGAAUUCUGGAAGAAGGAAAUAAAAAUAGCUAACAAGAAAUGUGUUCAUCUCUUUUGCCUCUCACAGGGCCAGAGCUAUGACGCAGAAGCAGAGAUCACCUGGGUUAGCCCUGAAAGACAUUCAGAGCUGACAGAUUCCUACAACGCUGUCACCUUGUGAAACCACAGACUGCAACUCAUUUGUUUAAAUUCACUCCUGCCCCUACCCUGCCACUAAACAAGUUGAAUAUUCAAGAGAGAGAUUUACCUUGCCUUAAACACUCAGGAAUGGAUUGUCCAGCCUAGUUAUACGAAGACAUACAUGCACACAAGACAAGACCCAGAAGCCUGAGUAUCACACGUCUUCCUCCUCGAUGAGAUGUAUUCCACCUCUACAAAUUUAAGUUAUGGUCAGAAGAAAAAUAGAGUACCUUGUUCUCAAUUCAAACCCAGUUUGAAGUUCCUAUCAGUGAAUGAGUUGGAAGGCAGCUAGCUAUCCUGCCUAUUUUAAAAUGCUAGCCCUUAAUUUUUUACUGCCACUGUAAAAUACAUUGUCACGGGUGAUA